rnacentral:rRNA from 1 species
CCUAACACAUGCAAGUCGAACGGUAACAGGAAACAGCUUGCUGUUUCGCUGACGAGUGGCGGACGGGUGAGUAAUGUCCGGGAAACUGCCUGAUGGAGGGGGAUAACUACUGGAAACGGUAGCUAAUACCGCAUAACGUCGCAAGACCAAAGAGGGGGACCCUCGGGCCUCUUGCCAUCGGAUGUGCCCAGAUGGGAUUAGCUUGUUGGUGGGGUAACGGCUCACCAAGGCGACGAUCCCUAGCUGGUCUGAGAGGAUGACCAGCCACACUGGAACUGAGACACGAUCCAGACUCCUACGGGAGGCAGCAGUGGGGAAUAUUGCACAAUGGGCGCAAGCCUGAUGCAGCCAUGCCGCGUGUAUGAAGAAGGCCUUCGGGUUGUA